UUUGCAUGAUGAUUUAAUCAAGAAUUCUGCAAUGCGGACAAUCUCCAGUCAUUUGUGAGAUUGCAUGUUGACUAUUCUACACUUGAUCUGACU
rfam:Neosartorya udagawae DNA, contig:Aud0136, strain: IFM 46973.